CAGAGUGUCCCUGCACACCACACAACGACACAAACACUGGACUACCCUGGCCCACCCCUGCUUUAUUCUACAUCACUGCUUCCCUGGUGUCAGCAUGAGAGCAGAACAAAGGCAGGAGGUGCGGAGCCCUCAAUUUUGUGAGAUUCCUUGAAAGAUUGUGAAAAGUCCAUUUUACGUGGCCGUGUGCUCAUACCAAGUCUAAGGUAAACAAGUUAAAAAUAUCAAAUGUAUAUUGAUAUAUGUGAUU
rnacentral:lncRNA from 1 species